rnacentral:rRNA from 1 species
UACGAAGGGGGCUAGCGUUGUUCGGAAUCACUGGGCGUAAAGCGCACGUAGGCGGUUCUUUAAGUCAGGGGUGAAAUCCCGAGGCUCAACCUCGGAACUGCCUUUGAUACUGGGGAUCUCGAGUCCGGGAGAGGUGAGUGGAACUGCGAGUGUAGAGGUGAAAUUCGUAGAUAUUCGCAAGAACACCAGUGGCGAAGGCGGCUCACUGGCCCGGAACUGACGCUGAGGUGCGAAAGCGUGGGGAGCAGACAGG